UCCCACAGUUCCUGCCAUUCGCUGACGAGUGGCGGACGGGUGAGUAAUGUCUGGGAAACUGCCUGAUGGAGGGGGAUAACUACUGGAAACGGUGGCUAAUACCGCAUAACGUCGCAAGACCAAAGAGGGGGACCUUCGGGCCUCUUGCCAUCAGAUGUGCCCAGAUGGGAUUAGCUUGUUGGUGAGGUAACGGCUCACCAAGGCGACGAUCCCUAGCUGGUCUGAGAGGAUGACCAGCCACACUGGAACUGAGACACGGUCCAGACUCCUACGGGAGGCAGCAGUGGGGAAUAUUGCACAAUGGGCGCAAGCCUGAUGCAGCCAUGCCGCGUGUAUGAAGAAGGCCUUCGGGUUGUAAAGUACUUUCAACCGGGAGAAGGGUUUGCGUAUACGCAGCAAUGGACGGUACCCGCAGAAGAAGCACCGGCUAACUCCGUGCCAGCAGCGCGGUAAUACGGAGGGUGCAAGCGUUAAUCGGAAUUACUGGGCGUAAAGCGCACGCAGGCGGUCUGUCAAGUCGGAUGUGAAAUCCCCGGGCUCAACCUGGGAACUGCAUUCGAAACUGGCAGGCUUGAGUCUUGUAGAGGGGGGUAGAAUUCCAGGUGUAGCGGUGAAAUGCGUAGAGAUCUGGAGGAAUACCGGUGGCGAAGGCGGCCCCCUGGACAAAGACUGACGCUCAGGUGCGAAAGCGUGGGGAGCAAACAGGAUUAGAUACCCUGGUAGUUCCACGCCGUAAACGAUGUCUACUUGGAGGUUGUGCCCUUGAGGCGUGGCUUCCGGAGCUAACGCGUUAAGUAGACCGCCUGGGGAGUACGGCCGCAAGGUUAAAACUCAAAUGAAUUGACGGGGGCCCGCACAAGCCGUGGAGCAUGUGAUUUAAUCCGAUGCAACGCCAAGAACGUACCUGUCUGGACUCACAGAACUUUCAGAAAUGGAACGGUGCCUUCGGGAACUGUGAGACAGGUGCUGCAUGGCUGUCGUCAGCUCGUGUUGUGAAAUGUUGGGUUAAGUCCCGCAACGAGCGCAACCCUUAUCCUUUGUUGCCAGCGGUUAGGCCGGGAACUCAAAGGAGACUGCCAGUGAUAAACUGGAGGAAGGUGGGGAUGACGUCAAGUCAUCAUGGCCCUUACGACCAGGGCUACACACGUGCUACAAUGGCGCAUACAAAGAGAAGCGACCUCGCGAGAGCAAGCGGACCUCAUAAAGUGCGUCGUAGUCCGGAUUGGAGUCUGCAACUCGACUCCAUGAAGUCGGAAUCGCUAGUAAUCGUGGAUCAGAAUGGUCCUUCCUAUUUUGC
rnacentral:rRNA from 1 species